CCCCCGCCUUCCACCGCAGCCCUCCGCCGUCCUCCACCGCAUGAAUCCUCCUUCCGUCCCUCGUUGUCGUCUUCAUCAAGUUCAGCGAGCUCCCCCGCCUCCCGCUACCACGGCCGGCGCUAAUUCGUCGGCUCCUACGCCCCCGCUGCCUCCACCGCCCACCGGGGGUCUCCCACCGCCCGGCUCCGGCGGCGUCCCCGCCGCCUCCGCUCCCCGCCGUCUCUCCCACCGCGGAUCCCUCUGGACCCGCAGGUCACAGGGAAUACAGAGAUGAGCGGUCAACAGUGGAACGGGCCCGGCGAACAUGGCUUCGUUGACCUUCUGCAAAUACUCGAUUCCAUUGGCGAUCUGGAUAGAUUCCUUACAAGAAAGGAAUCACUUUGCAUACUCAGGAAUCCGGUACUUUUUGCUCAAGAUGGUCAUGUCCUAGACGCCAUAGAUGAUCGAAACAGGCCAGACUACGAGUUUCUGGUAGUAGAUAGACCUACGCUUAUGCAGAUGAAUCUGAACGCUGGAAUAGUUGGCGAUGACAAGCUGCCUGGUUACUAACGUGACCUAAAUGCAUUGGCCCAACCGCCCAAGAGAGGCGAAUCUCUACUUUGAAGGUCAAUGAGAAUACCUUCCUCAGGCGACAUGAGAUUAGUGGGAAGAGACUAUUGAGGAGGAGAAUUUCUCUUGGUAAAGAUGAUGGUCCUUUUGAUGAUGAGGCACAAGUAACAAGUAUAAUACCAAAUGCUUCCAAGGAUGAAGAAAUCUAUGAAGGCUGCAAUUUUGGCAAGAAGGGCAGAACACGGCCACUUUUUAGAUGCCACUUGACGGAAAAUGAGGUUACUGAUGCUGCAGCUAAAUGAUUCUACUUUUCCUUUACAAGCAUGGGCUUCAAGCGAUUGCCACCUUGUAACAUGGUUACGUACGUCCAAUGAUAUACAGCUUAACUGAUAACGUCCUCUCUCACUCUGGGUGAAAAACAUAUCCAAUAUGUUCAUAGCUACUGCCUGUGGUAACUAACGAUGCUACUGCAUAUAGAAAUGUUGAUGGGUGAUACUGCUGGAUGCUGAUUGAAAUGUUGUGGUUUUGUGCCAAGAGAGGUUCUCAAGGAUGCUGGCCUUUUAUGCGAUUGGCUAUUCUUGAUGAACGUGAUGAAAUGCAUGUGAUGCAUGGAUAUAGUCAUACAGGGUUGGUGACUCAGGUGUAUUGCUUUUGUUCUGUUAAUGGUAUUGCAGGGGGAUUAGGAGAUAAGUUGUUUGUAUAUACGGUGUGAUUGUGCAUACUCAAGUCGCUUUUGGCGUGUGUUUCCAUCUGGUUUGGCCUUCUUUGGAAGCAGCUGGGAGUUGUAGUUGUGUUAAUGAGUUUUCUUUUUUCAAUCUGUUGAUAAUCUUAUUUUGGUGAA